AAAAAAAGUUCUGAAAAUGGAAAGAUAAAAUUGGAUCUAUCGCCUUCCGUGUUCUUGAUGAAGCUGAUGAGAUGUUGAGAAUUCUUCUCGUCGAUGAGGUUUAACUCUAAUUAGACUAUUGAUCUUCUGGUGAAUGAUAUGAAAGUGUGCUAAAGGUGUAUGACGAUUAACCUACACAGAUAAGUAUUAUACUCAAGCAAUAUAUAAUUUUAAUUAUCUGUUCAUAAUACACUCGUAUAAAAUUUCCAUAUACUUUUGUAUUUUACACAAUUUUAUAUCUGUGUCUGGUUUAUAUUCCAUUAAUGGAAGGUAAAUUACUUAAUUCAGCAGGAAUAUUCUAAUGUGACAUGUUCCUUUACAGUUUAAUAUACAAUAUUGCAAACAUAAAGAGUCCAUAAUCUAUACAGAGAUGGGAGGAGAGACGAUCAGAUCAGAAUCGGAUACCACCAUCUCAAGUGAUGAGCCAAACUGGGGAUUGAAUGACUUCCAAGUAUGGAGCACUUUAACCUGGACGCUCCAUGAAAUCUUGAAAGGUAUUUAAUUGAUCUUGGAUGACUUCAAAGCGCCAUUAAUCUACAAUUAGGAAGACUUCAAAGCUUUGGUUUGAUGGCAUAUUUUCAUCUAUCCAAUGUUAAAAUAAUUAUGGCCGAUGGGUGUAUGAUAAAAAGUCAUGGUGCAAACAUACAAUACCUGGUGAAAACAUACAAUAUGGAUUCGUGUAAAAGAAACGUGACGAUAUCAUCGA